GGGGCCUCGGCCAUCAGAUCACCAGACGGUAAUGCCACCCCCCUCGAGGCCACUAGCUAAAUGGGGGACAGACCUCGGUAGAGAAUCUAAAUACUGCCUGUCGAUGGGAGAGGUUCGAGCGGUCUCCGGGAGGGAGCCUGGGGUGAGGGGGGCACCCUAAUGAAAGUCAGGAUAGGUUCUGGGGGGCUGCUCUGUGCAGCUAGAGAAGGCCCAGGGCUGGUGAAUCCCAUGGCAUGAACCCCUUGGCAGAAACAUCCAUCAGGAUCGGCCCAGCCAUGCAGACGUGCAGACUCCCGGUGCCUCCCAGGCCUACAUUGCCAGGGACUCUGCACUCAGUGCUCGGUUUCCAGGGUGAGGCCGGCCCGCCCUCCCGGCUGUUGACGGCCAUGCCCCAAAGCUGGUGGCCCUCUGGGCAGGGGAAGGGCCCUAUCCCCAUUCACCUGCUCCCUUUGACCCUGUCCCCUCCCCUCCCCACUCCCCCAGCUCCCGCUCUCUAUCCUCCUGUAUUAGACAGCAUGCUUUGCCUGUUCCCGUAUUCCUUUCCUGUUGCUGCUGUAACAGGUGACCGUGAACUUGUGGCUUAAACAACACACACAGGUCACCUGACCGUUCUGUGGCUCCUAAGUCAGAUACAGGUCCCCCUGGGUUCCUUUCUGGAGGCUCUGGGGAGGACCCGUGUCCUUGCACGUUCUCGUGGCAGAAUUCAGCCCCUUGUGGUUGUAGCAUCGAGGACCCUCUUUUCUUUCUGGCUGCUGUCAGUUUCCGGAGGCCACCACAUCCCCUGGCUCACGGCCCCUUCCUCCACCUUCAAAGCCAGCGAUGUCACGGCACGCGGAGCUUUGUUUCCCAUCACAGCCAGGGGAGGGCCUCCGCUUGUAAAGGUUUCAGGGGAGGAAAAGCUUCCCUCUCUCCCCUCAAGAACAAGGUUCUAGGGCCAGGGCCUAGGAGCUGCACUGUCAAAGGCCCAUGCGCGAGAGAAAUGGCACGCAGACUUCAUCUGAUGCUAGAAUGCUCAUUGUUAGGUGCACGAAGGACAUCAGAGCAAGAGGACGAAGGCCCAGAAGGGCAGUGACACUCAGGGGACUUAAUGUGUCACUUCAACAGAAGGCAAUAGAUUAUGGAGAAGGGACAAGGUGACGAAAAGUGCUUGUGGGCCCCUAGGGGCAGAAGGUGAACACAUGGGGGAAACCGAGGGAAGGUAGGGUUGUUUGGUGAGGUUUCGUUUGUGCGGACUUAACUCGGCCAUCCCCGCCUCUGGCGAUAAAUGCUGUUCCUUCCUUCCGGGGGCAGGACAGGGAGCACACUUCCUUCCCAGGGCCGGCUUCCUGGGGGGCCCCCUGUGUGUUUAAUGCUCUGCUGGCUGAAAUCCUUAAUAAUGUUUGGACAAGAGGCCCCACAUUUUCAUGUUGCAUCGGGGGGGCUGUGAAUUAUAUCGCUGGUCCUGCCCCUUCCAUAUCGGAAUUUGGGGCUCUCUUGGCUGUCGCUCCUUCUGGAACGCAGGCACGUGACCCUGUCUUAUCGACACCCGACUUCCCAGGGAGUUCCUGCUCUAUUACAGGACCCUGCAAACGUGGCCCCAUGGAGGAGCUUCCCAAGCAGCCGAGACUGGUCAGGUCUGCGACAGCUUCAAAGCCAGCGCCCUCCCGCCUCCAACAGGCCGGGGAGGAACUCCUCCUUCUGGUUCCAGCUCCAGACUGAGCAGCUGUUUACCAGGAAAGGAAAUUCAGAGCGAGGCAAUAAAAAAGGUCGGAAGGUGGGAGCGGUAGCCGGCGUGUAACUGUAUCGACCGCAUUUCCAGUUUCUGGAGACGAUGUCCGAACCUCUGCCCUGCGUGCAUAUGCUUGGACGUCCCUGGGUCCCCUCGCUUCGGCCUCCCGCUUCCCUUGACCUUCUUCCGCCACACCCUAUGGUCAGAGGGGACGUGCUUUUCGAAUGCAGAUCAAGGGGCACCUGCAUGGCCCAGUGGUUUAAGCGUCCCACUCUUGGUUUGAGCUCAGGUCAUGAUCUCACGGUUCGUGAGUUCGAGCCCCACGUUAGGUUGUGCGCUGACAGUGUGGAGCCUGCUUGGGAUUUCCUCUCUCUCUCUCUGCCCCUUCCCUGCUCUCUCUCUUAAAAAAUACUAUACAAACACAGAUCGAUCAAUCCAGAGCCCCCUCCCCCCC